rnacentral:rRNA from 1 species
UGAGCAACCUGCCCUUGACUCUGGAAUAACAGCUGGAAACAGCUGCUAAUACCGGAUACGACCUCCGAUGGCAUCAUCUGGAGGUGGAAAGCUCCGACGGUCAAGGAUGGGCUCGCGGCCUAUCAGCUUGUUGGUGAGGUAACGGCUCACCAAGGCUUCGACGGGUAGCCGGCCUGAGAGGGCGACCGGUCACACGUGGGACUGAGAUACCGGCCCAGACCUCGUACGGGA